rnacentral:rRNA from 1 species
GACGAACGCUGGCGGCGUGCUUAACACAUGCAAGUCGAGCGGAAAGGCCCUUCGGGGUACUCGAGCGGCGAACGGGUGAGUAACACGUGAGUAACCUGCCCCCGACUUUGGGAUAACCCUCGGAAACGGGGGUUAAUACCGGAUACGACACAGCUUCGCAUGGGGUCUGUGUGGAAAGUUUGUCGGUUUGGGCUGGGCUCGCGGCCUAUCAGCUUGUUGGUGGGGUGUUGGCCUACCAAGGCGACGACGGGUAGCCGGCCUGAGAGGGAGACCGGCCACACUGGGACUGAGACACGGCCCAGACUCCUACGGGAGGCAGCAGUGGGGAAUAUUGCACAAUGGGCGGAAGCCUGAUGCAGCGACGCCGCGUGAGGGAUGACGGCCUUCGGGUUGUAAACCUCUUUCAGCAGGGACGAAGCGUAAGUGACGGUACCUGCAGAAGAAGCGCCGGCCAACUACGUG